rnacentral:rRNA from 1 species
GACGAACGCUGGCGGCGUGCUUAACACAUGCAAGUCGAACGGAAAGGCCCUGCUUUUGUGGGGUGCUCGAGUGGCGAACGGGUGAGUAACACGUGAGUAACCUGCCCUUGACUUUGGGAUAACUUCAGGAAACUGGGGCUAAUACCGGAUAGGAGCUCCUGCUGCAUGGUGGGGGUUGGAAAGUUUCGGCGGUUGGGGAUGGACUCGCGGCUUAUCAGCUUGUUGGUUGGGUAGUGGCUUACCAAGGCUUUGACGGGUAGCCGGCCUGGGAGGGUGACCGGCUACGUUGGGACUGGACUACGGCACAGCCUAGUACGGGAGGCAGCAGUGGGGAAUAUUGCACUAUGGGCGGAAGCCUGAUGCAGCAACGCCGCGUGCGGGAUGACGGCCUUCGGGUUGUAUACCGCUUUCGCCUGUGACGAAGCGUGAGUGACGGUAAUGGGUAAAGAAGCACCGGCUAACUACGUG